UACGGAGGGGGCAAGCGUUGUUCGGAACCAUUGGGCGUAAAGGGCGCGUAGGCGGCUGAUCAAGUCGGGUGUGAAAUCCCUCGGCUCAACCGAGGAACUGCAUUCGAUACUGGUCGGCUAGAGUCCGGGAGGGGAUGGUGGAAUUCCCAGUGUAGCGGUGAAAUGCGUAGAUAUUGGGAAGAACACCGGUGGCGAAGGCGGCCAUCUGGACCGGUACUGACGCUGAGGCGCGAAAGCCAGGGGAGCGAAUGGG
rnacentral:rRNA from 1 species